rnacentral:rRNA from 1 species
UACGUAGGGUGCAAGCGUUAAUCGGAAUUACUGGGCGUAAAGCGUGCGCAGGCGGUUCGGAAAGAAAGAUGUGAAAUCCCAGGGCUUAACCUUGGAACUGCAUUUGUAACUGCCGAGCUAGAGUAUGUCAGAGGGGGGUAGAAUUCCACGUGUAGCAGUGAAAUGCGUAGAGAUGUGGAGGAAUACCGAUGGCGAAGGCAGCCCCCUGGGAUAAUACUGACGCUCAUGCGCGAAAGCGUGGGGAGCAAACAGG